rnacentral:lncRNA from 1 species
CAGCAGCACUUGGCCCCAUGGGGAAAUAAAAUUUGAUGCAAGCAGCAAGGACUCUUGUGUCCUUGGGAAAAGUCAGCUGUGUGAAGAAUCCUUGCGAUAUGAAUGACUGGAGCAACUGGAAAAUUCCAGAACAAGAGCCAGGUGCUGAGAUCAGAGAAGGGCAGGGUCAUCCUGAAAGUCACACAUUACGUCAGCGGCAGAGGUGGGUUUGGGACUCAGGUCUCCUGAGUUCAGCCAAGGCUGCGCUGUAAGUUGUGCUGGAGACCGAGGAGUGAAUUAGCUUGGCAAGCAACGGGGAAUGGUCACGGUGCAUGCUGUCAUAAUUCCAUUGAAUACUUUGCAGAUGUUAAGAAUAACAAGAGGAUAAACAGCAGUGAAAGUGGAUCAGAUGGCUAAUGCCGGCAGUAGCCUUAAACUUCAAAAUUGGGGCUGCCAAUGCAUCUCUGUGGGUGGGUGUUGGGAUGUCUGCUUGUGAGUGGGUGACAGGCUCCUGGAAAAUUGGUGAGUUUGGCACGUUACAGCCCCUUCUGUGGAUAUCCUCUUUCCCUGUUGCUGUAAUGUGUCUUCCCCUAGAGCCCUCUUGGGGGAUGUUUUUUUUCGCACAUGCCUCAUACUCUUGGCCCCGGAAGUGAGGUCAGUGUUCUCCUUGCUCCUGCUAGCCACUUCCCAAUCCUUCCUCGUUCCCAGCUCUGAAUUUCCUGUUAUCCCUUCCUCAUCCACUACCCUACCUUGUUGCAGUCACCUCUCCCUCUCAUUGUUACUCUCCCUUAUUGUCUGAUGACUUAACAGCCUACUCACCAUCAACACUUGGAUGUCUAAAGAGCAAGUCAAACUUAACCAUAUCCCAAAGUGAGCUCCUGAUCAUUAUUGUCCACCCACCUCAUAGCUACUCCUCCCACAACUCUACCAUCUCAGCUAAUGGCAACUCCAUCCUUCCAGAGGCUUGAAACGAGACCCUGAUUCCUCUCUUUCCCUCACACCCAAUUAGCAAAUCCUGUAGAUUCCAUCUGGAGACAGUAGAACAUGAGACAGCAAUAAAAAAGAACAGGCUACAAAUACAUGCAACAACAUAAAUGAAUCUCAGAGUCAUAGUGAUGAGUGAAAGAAAUCAGGUACAAAAGAACUUUUAUAUCAGCCAGGAGCGGUGGCUCACGCCUGUAAUCCCAGCACUUUGGGAGGCUGAGGCGGGUGGAUCACCUGAGGACAGAAGUUCGAGACCAGCCUGGCCAACAUGGUGAGAGGCUGUCUCUACUAAAAAUGCAAAAAUUAGCUGGGCGUGGUGGUGCACACCUGUAAUUUCAGCUACUUGGGAGGCUUAGACAGGAGAAUUGCUUGAACCCGGGAGGAAGAAGUUGCAGUGAGCUGAGAUCAUGCCACUGCACUCUAGCCUGGGUGACAGAGCAAGACUCUGUCUCAAAAAAAAAAAAAAAAAAGGACUUUUAUAUGAAGUUUAAGAACAUCUAACACUUAGAGAAGUCAGAAUACUGGUUACCUCUGCAUGGGUGGGUGGUUUUGAUUUAGAAGGAGUCCAAAAGAAUUUUGUGGGCUGCUAAAAAUGUUACAUAAAUGAUUCUCUGUAUGGUUGUUACAUGGGUAAAUACAAAUGAAAAAAUUUAUUGACUAAAAGAAGUUGAUUCAUGGGUACAAAUAUGCAGUUUGAUAGAAGAAAUAAGACCUAGUGUUUGGUAGAUCAGUAGGGUGACUGUAAUUUACAAUAAUCUAUGGCAUAUUUCAAAAUAGCUAGAAGAGGAUAAUUCAAAUGUUUCUAACAUAAAGAAAAGACAAAUAUUUAAGAUGAUGGAUAUCUCAAUUACACUGAUACAAUCUUUACGAAUUAUAUGAAUGUAUUAAAUUUUCACAGGUACCCCCAAAAUAUGUACAUCUAUUUUGUAUCAGUAAAAAUUAUUUUAAAAAUUCAUUGGGCUAUACAGUGAAAGUUUGUGUAUUUUGCUGUCUGUAUUUCGUGCUUCGAUAAGAAAUAAAGUAUGUAUAUAUCCAGAUUCUAAGCCUAGCCCUGAAAUCAUCCUGUAUGAUCAUCUAGCUCUCUUUCCCCUGCUGCAGCAAUGGGAGAAGUAUUCUUCUCCUUCCUUCAUCCUCCACAUUCAAAAUAUAAGUAAGUCUUCUCAGCUCCACUGUCAGAAACAUCUAGAAUUUGCUCCCUAUCUCCAUCUUCCCUUCUCUACCCUAGUGCAAGUUAUUACCAUUGGUCACCUGGACACUAAAAUAGCCUUAUUCUUUUCGAUGACUGCAUAGUGUUCCAUCCCAUACAGUAUGUAGUGAGCUGAAUGGUGGCCCCAAAGAUAUGUCCAUGUUCUAAUCCCUGGAACACUGUCUCAGCCUCCUCAGACUGCCAUAAUAAAAUAUCAUAGAUGGGCUGGCUUAAACAACAGGAACUUAUUUCUCACAGUUCUAGAGGCUAAGAAGUCCAAGAUCAAGGUGCUAACAAGGUAGGUUUCAUUCUGAAGGAUCUUCUCUUGGCUUGUAGGUGGCUACAGUCUUGCUAUGUGCUCACAUGACUUUUGUGUGCAUGAGGGGGUGAAAGAGAGAGCAAGCUCUAUGGUGUCUCUUUCUAUCAGGGCAGUGAUCCCGUCACAAGAACCCUACCCUUAUGACCUCAUCUAAUCCUAAUUACCUCCCAAAGGCCUCACUUCUAAAUACAAUCACACUGGGGGUUUAGGGUUUCAACUUAGGAGUUUUGGGGGGACAC